rnacentral:rRNA from 1 species
UAGGGAAUCUUCCACAAUGGACGAAAGUCUGAUGGAGCAACGCCGCGUGAGUGAAGAAGGGUUUCGGCUCGUAAAACUCUGUUGUUAAAGAAGAAUAUAUCUGAGAGUAACUGUUCAGGUAUUGACGGUAUUUAACCAGAAAGCCACGGCUAACUACGUGCCAGCAGCCGCGGUAAUACGUAGGUGGCAAGCGUUGUCCGGAUUUAUUGGGCGUAAAGCGAGCGCAGGCGGUUUUUUAAGUCUGAUGUGAAAGCCUUCGGCUCAACCGAAGAAGUGCAUCGGAAAC